CUGGCUCCUCUGGAGUCCGAGUUGUAAUUUGUAGAAGAUGCUUUGGGUGAUGGGUUCGGCCUAAGUUCCUUGGAACAGGACGUCAUAGAGGGUGAGAAUCCCGUAUGUGGCCGAGGCCCACGCCUAUGUAAAGCUCUUUCAACGAGUCGAGUUGUUUGGGAAUGCAGCUCAAAAUGGGUGGUAAAUUUCAUCUAAAGCUAAAUAUGGGCCAGAGACCGAUAGCGCACAAGUAGAGUGAUCGAAAGAUGAAAAGCACUUUGGAAAGAGAGUUAAACAGUACGUGAAAUUGUUGAAAGGGAAGCGCUUGCACCCAGACUUGGGCGCUGCUGAUCACCUUGCGGUCUCCGCGAGUGCACUCGACAGCGCACAGGCCAGCAUCGGUUCGGGUGGCUGGAUAAAGGCUGUAGGAACGUAGCUCCCUCCGGGGAGUGUUAUAGCCUACGGUGCCAUGCAGCCCAGCCGGACCGAGGACCGCGCCUUCGGGCUAGGAUGCUGGCGUAAAUGGGUGUAAGCGACCCGUCUUGAAACACGGACCAAGGAGUCUAACAUCUAUGCGAGUGUUUGGGUGGUAAACCCAUACGCGGAAUGAAAGUGAAUGUAGGUGAGAACC
rnacentral:rRNA from 1 species